rnacentral:rRNA from 1 species
AAGUGACGGGGCCCGGCACAAGCGGUGGAGCAUGUGGUUUAAUUCGAUGAUACGCGAGGAACCUUACCUGGGCUCAAAUGUAUGUUGACGUAUUCUAGAAGGGAAUACUUUCUUCGGACAAUAUACAAGGUGCUGCAUGGUUGUCGUCAGCUCGUGCCGUGAGGUGUCGGGUUAAGUCCCAUAACGAGCGCAACCCCUAUCAUUAGUUGCCAUCAGGUCAAGCUGGGGACUCUAAUGAAACUGCCUACGCAAGUAGUGAGGAAGGCGGGGAUGACGUCAAAUCAGCACGGCCCUUACGUCCAGGGCUACACACGUGCUACAAUGGCCGAUACAGAGGGCAGCUACCUGGUGACAGGAUGCAAAUCUCCAAAGUCGGUCUCAGUUCGGAUCGGAGUCUGCAACCCGACUCCGUGAAGUUGGAUUCGCUAGUAAUCGCGCAUCAGCCAUGGCGCGGUGAAUACGUUCCCGGGCCUU